GCAGCCGCGGUAAUUCCAGCUCCAAUAGCGUAUAUUAAAGUUGUUGCAGUUAAAAAGCUCGUAGUUGGAUCUCGGAUCCGGGCGAGCGGUCCGCCUCGCGGCGGUUUACUGCUCGAUGGCGACAGUUCGGGGCGGCCGUUUCGGCGGUUCGUCACGGCUGGCGUCGUUCCCGGUCUCUCACCCUCUGGACGCCCGUCGGUGCUCUUGACUGCAGUGCCGGCGGCGGCCAGGACGUUUACUUUGAAAAAAUUAGAGUGUUCCAAGCAGGCGCGUUCCGCCCGAAUAAUGGUGCAUGGAAUAAUGGAAUAGGACCUCGGUUCUAUUUUGUUGGUUUUCGGAACUAGAGGUAAUGAUUAAGAGGGACAGACGGGGGCAUUCGUAUUGCGGUGUUAGAGGUGAAAUUCUUGGAUCGCCGCAAGACGAACUACUGCGAAAGCAUUUGCCAAGAAUGUUUUCAUUAAUCAAGAA
rnacentral:rRNA from 1 species